rnacentral:rRNA from 1 species
AUUGAACGCUGGCGGCACGCCUAACACAUGCAAGUCGAGCGGCAGCGCGAUAUGUAGCAAUACAUAUUGGCGGCGAGCGGCGGACGGGUGUGGAACACGUAGGAACCUACCCUCGAGUGGGGGAUAACCAAGGGAAACUUUGGCUAAUACCGCAUGAACUCGAGAGAGCAAAGCUGCCGCAAGGUGGCGCUCGAGGAGGGGCCUGCGUCCGAUUAGCUAGUUGGUGAGGUAAGAGCUCACCAAGGCGAUGAUCGGUAACUGGUCUGAGAGGACGACCAGUCACACUGGGACUGAGACACGGCCCAGACUCCUACGGGAGGCAGCAGUGGGGAAUAUUGGACAAUGGGGGCAACCCUGAUCCAGCGAUGCCGCGUGAGUGAAGAAGGCCUUCGGGUCGUAAAGCUCUUUAGGUUGGGAAGAAGGGUGAUGGAGGAAAUGCUAUCACUUUGACGGUACCGACAGAAUAAGCACCGGCAAACUCUGUGCCAGCCGCCGCAGUAACAC